rnacentral:rRNA from 1 species
GACACGGUCCAAACUCCUACGGGAGGCAGCAGUGAGGAAUAUUGGUCAAUGGGCGAUGGCCUGAACCAGCCAAGUAGCGUGAAGGAUGACUGCCCUAUGGGUUGUAAACUUCUUUUAUAAAGGAAUAAAGUCGGGUAUGCAUACCCGUUUGCAUGUACUUUAUGAAUAAGGAUCGGCUAACUCCGUGCCAGCAGCCGCGGUAAUACGGAGGAUCCGAGCGUUAUCCGGAUUUAUUGGGUUUAAAGGGAGCGUAGAUGGAUGUUUAAGUCAGUUGUGAAAGUUUGCGGCUCAACCGUAAAAUUGCAGUUGAUACUGGAUGUCUUGAGUGCAGUUGAGGCAGGCGGAAUUCGUGGUGUAGCGGUGAAAUGCUUAGAUAUCACGAAGAACUCCGAUUGCGAAGGCAGCCUGCUAAGCUGCAACUGACAUUGAGGCUCGAAAGUGUGGGUAUCAAACAGGAUUAGAUACCCUGGUAGUCCACACGGUAAACGAUGAAUACUCGCUGUUUGCGAUAUACGGCAAGCGGCCAAGCGAAAGCGUUAAGUAUUCCACCUGGGGAGUACGCCGGCAACGGUGAAACUCAAAGGAAUUGACGGGGGCCCGCACAAGCGGAGGAACAUGUGGUUUAAUUCGAUGAUACGCGAGGAACCUUACCCGGGCUUAAAUUGCACUCGAAUGAUCCGGAAACGGUUCAGCUAGCAAUAGCGAGUGUGAAGGUGCUGCAUGGUUGUCGUCAGCUCGUGCCGUGAGGUGUCGGCUUAAGUGCCAUAACGAGCGCAACCCUUGUUGUCAGUUACUAACAGGUGAUGCUGAGGACUCUGACAAGACUGCCAUCGUAAGAUGUGAGGAAGGUGGGGAUGACGUCAAAUCAGCACGGCCCUUACGUCCGGGGCUACACACGUGUUACAAUGGGGGGUACAGAGGGCCGCUACCACGCGAGUGGAUGCCAAUCCCUAAAACCCCUCUCAGUUCGGACUGGAGUCUGCAACCCGACUCCACGAAGCUGGAUUCGCUAGUAAUCGCGCAUCAGCCACGGCGCGGUGAAUACGUUCCCGGGCCUUGUACACACCGCCCGUCAAGCCAUGGGAGCCGGGGGUACCUGAAGUGCGUAACCGCGAGGAUCGCCCUAGGGUAAAACUGGUGACUGGGGCUAAGUCGUAACAAGGUAGCCGUACCGGAAGGUGCGGCUG